rnacentral:rRNA from 1 species
GACGAACGCUGGCGGCGUGCUUAACACAUGCAAGUCGAACGGAAAGGCCCUGCUUUUGUGGGGUGCUCGAGUGGCGAACGGGUGAGUAACACGUGAGUAACCUGCCCUUGACUUUGGGAUAACUUCAGGAAACUGGGGCUAAUACCGGAUAGGAGCUCCUGCUGCAUGGUGGGGGUUGGAAAGUUUCGGCGGUUGGGGAUGGACUCGCGGCUUAUCAGCCUGUUGGUGGGGUAGUGGCUUACCAAGGCUUUGACGGGUAGCCGGCCUGAGGGGGUGACCGGCCACAUUGGGACUGAGAUACGGCCCAGACUCCUACGGGAGGCAGCAGUGGGGAAUAUUGCACAAUGGGCGGAAGCCUGAUGCAGCAACGCCGCGUGCGGGAUGACGGCCUUCGGGUUGUAAACCGCUUUCGCCUGUGACGAAGCGUGAGUGACGGUAAUGGGUAAAGAAGCACCGGCUAACUACGUG